rnacentral:rRNA from 1 species
GACGAACGCUGGCGGCGUGCUUAACACAUGCAAGUCGAACGGAAAGGCCCUGCUUUUGUGGGGUGCUCGAGUGGCGAACGGGUGAGUAACACGUGAGUAACCUGCCCUUGACUUUGGGAUAACUUCAGGAAACUUGGGCUAAUACCGGAUAGGAGCUCCUGCUGCAUGGUGGGGGUUGGAAAGCUUCGGCGGGUGGGGAUGGAGGCGCGGCUUAUCAGCUUGUUGGUGGGGUAGUGGCUUACCAAGGCUUUGACGGGUAGCCGGCCUGAGAGGGUGACCGGCCACAUUGGGACUGAGAGACGGCCCAGACGCCUACGGGAGGCAGCAGUGGGGAAUAUUGCACAAUGGGCGGAAGCCUGAUGCAGCAACGCCGCGUGCGGGAUGACGGCCUUCGGGUUGUAAACCGCUUUCGCCUGUGACGAAGCGUGAGUGACGGUAAUGUGUAAAGAAGCACCGGCUAACUACGUG